CCUGUCCCUGGAAGCAUUACAGGUCUGGCUGUGGUGUCACAUGUGUAUCAGUAGUUGGCAGAGAGGAGAGAAGCUGUGUCUGUGCUUAUUGUUCUGAUCUAUGAACGUCUGAAUGAUUAAUAACCUAAUAUU